GACGAACGCUGGCGACGUGCCUAAUACAUGCAAGUAGAACGCUGAAGCGAGGAGCUUGCUCUUCUUGGAUGAGUUGCGAACGGGUGAGUAACGCGUAGGUAACCUGCCUUGUAGCGGGGGAUAACUAUUGGAAACGAUAGCUAAUACCGCAUAACAAUGGAUGACACAUGUCAUUUAUUUGAAAGGGGCAAUUGCUCCACUACCAGAUGGACCUGCGUUGUAUUAGCUAGUAGGUGAGGUAACGGCUCACCUAGGCGACGAUACAUAGCCGACCUGAGAGGGUGGUCGGCCACACUGGGACGGGGACACGGCCCAGACUCCUACGGGAGGCAGCAGUAGGGAAUCUUCGGCAAUGGGGGCAACCCUGACCGAGCAACGCCGCGUGAGUGAAGAAGGGUUUCGGGUCGUAAAGCUCUGUUGUAAGUCAAGAACGGGUGUGAGAGUGGAAAGUUCACACUGUGACGGUAGCUUACCAGAAAGGGACGGCUAACUACGUG
rnacentral:rRNA from 1 species